AACGAACGCUGGCGGCAUGCCUAACACAUGCAAGUCGAACGAGACCUUCGGGUCUAGUGGCGCACGGGCGCGUAACGCGUGGGAAUCUGCCCUUGGGUUCGGAAUAACUCAGAGAAAUUUGAGCUAAUACCGGAUGAUGACGAAAGUCCAAAGAUUUAUCGCCCAAGGAUGAGCCCGCGUAAGAUUAGCUUGUUGGUGGGGUAAUGGCCUACCAAGGCGACGAUCUUUAGCUGGUCUGAGAGGAUGAUCAGCCACACUGGGACUGAGACACGGCCCAGACUCCUACGGGAGGCAGCAGUGGGGAAUAUUGGACAAUGGGCGAAAGCCUGAUCCAGCAAUGCCGCGUGAGUGAUGAAGGCCUUAGGGUUGUAAAGCUCUUUUACCAGGGAUGAUAAUGACAGUACCUGGAGAAUAAGCUCCGGCUAACUCCGUGCCAGCCGCCGCCGUAACAC
rnacentral:rRNA from 1 species